rnacentral:rRNA from 1 species
AGCGAACGCUGGCGGCAGGCUUAACACAUGCCAGUCGAGCGGGCACUUUCGGGUGUCAGCGGCGGACGGGUGAGUAACGCGUGGGAACGUGCCCUCUGGUUCGGAAUAACUCAGGGAAACUUGAGCUAAUACCGGAUACGCCCUUUUGGGGAAAGGCUUGCUGCCGGAGGAUCGGCCCGCGUCUGAUUAGCUAGUUGGUGAGGUAACGGCUCACCAAGGCGACGAUCAGUAGCUGGUCUGAGAGGUUGAUCAGCCACACUGGGACUGAGACACGGCCCAGACUCCUACGGGAGGCAGCAGUGGGGAAUAUUGGACAAUGGGCGCAAGCCUGAUCCAGCCAUGCCGCGUGAGUGAUGAAGGCCUUAGGGUUGUAAAGCUCUUUUAUCCGGGACGAUAAUGACGGUACCGGAGGAAUAAGCCCCGGCUAACUUCGUG